rnacentral:rRNA from 1 species
CUCGUAGGCGGCCGACUAAGUCGGACGUGAAAUCCCUCGGCUUAACCGGGGAAUUGCGUCCGAUACUGGACGGCUUGAGAUCGGGAGAGGGAUGUGGAAUUCCAGGUGUAGCGGUGAAAUGCGUAGAUAUCUGGAGGAACACCGGUGGCGAAGGCGGCAUCCUGGACCGACACUGACGCUGAGGAGCGAAAGCCAGGGGAGCAAACG